rnacentral:rRNA from 1 species
ACGCUGGCGGCGGCCUAACAAUGCAAGUCGAACGGUAACAUUUCUAGCUUGCUAGAAGAUGACGAGUGGCGGACGGGUGAGUAAUGCUUGGGAACUUGCCUUUGCGAGGGGGAUAACAGUUGGAAACGACUGCUAAUACCGCAUAAUGUCUUCGGACCAAACGGGGCUUCGGCUCCGGCGCAAAGAGAGGCCCAAGUGAGAUUAGCUAGUUGGUAAGGUAACGGCUUACCAAGGCGACGAUCUCUAGCUGUUCUGAGAGGAAGAUCAGCCACACUGGGACUGAGACACGGCCCAGACUCCUACGGGAGGCAGCAGUGGGGAAUAUUGCACAAUGGGGGAAACCCUGAUGCAGCCAUGCCGCGUGUGUGAAGAAGGCCUUCGGGUUGUAAAGCACUUUCAGUUGUGAGGAAAAGUUAGUAGUUAAUACCUGCUAGCCGUGACGUUAACAACAGAAGAAGCACCGGCUAACUCCGUGCCAGCAGCCGCGGUAAUACGGAGGGUGCGAGCGUUAAUCGGAAUUACUGGGCGUAAAGCGCACGCAGGCGGUUUGUUAAGCUAGAUGUGAAAGCCCCGGGCUCAACCUGGGAUGGUCAUUUA